CACCUUGCAAGUACUUCCUGAAGGUCAGGCCUUCUGGCAAAUGAUGAAGCUACACAAUGAGUACCGCUGCGACAGUCCCCAACCCCGUGGAGCCUGUACUCGUGUAGAAGAAAGAGCCAUUGAAUGAUGAAGUCGAACUACUUGGGCUCCACCCAUUUUCAGUGCCCUGUGUCUCACAAGCACAUCACACAACUGUCCAUGGAGAAGGUUGUGGAGAGGAAUCUGUGUGACAAGUGCUCGGGUUGUGGAACCCAUAACCACCCUCACCAUGCACCAGUCUCCUUCCCUCUGAAUGAUUUUGUUGGAGGUAAAAAUAAUCAACACUUGCAAAUUCACCAGGGACCAAGAAAUGCACAACUUCGGAAAGGCAAACUGCGCUGAGAAACUCUGCUUUUAAUAAAGUGAUCCGGGGCCCAGCAGCACAAACACCGUCCUGGGUCACAUUAGCCCAAGUGUUGCCUGAGAUGAUCCACCACUCCAUCAAGAAAUUAGGAGGAAUUUUUGCUCUGUAAUGACAGCAUCUUCUCAAUCUCCAAAGAAAGUCAUGGUAAAAUCUGUCUUUCAUUGAGUCUCUUAAGGAUCAGUGGAUUAUACUGAA